rnacentral:rRNA from 1 species
GGAGACAGCAGUGGGGAAUAUUGCACAAUGGGCGCAAGCCUGAUGCAGCGACGCCGCGUGAGGGAUGACGGCCUUCGGGUUGUAGACCUCUUUCAGCAGGGAAGAAGCCACAAGUGACGGUACCUACAGAAGAAGCGCCGGCUAACUACGUGCCAGCAGCCGCGGUAAUACGUAGGGCGCAAGCGUUGUCCGGAAUUAUUGGGCGUAAAGAGCUCGUAGGCGGUUUGUCGCGUCUGCUGUGAAAGCCCGGGGCUCAACCCCGGGUCUGCAGUGGGUACGGGCAGACUAGAGUGCAGUAGGGGAGACUGGAAUUCCUGGUGUAGCGGUGAAAUGCGCAGAUAUCAGGAGGAACACCGAUGGCGAAGGCAGGUCUCUGGGCUGUUACUGACGCUGAGGAGCGAAAGCAUGGGGAGCGAACAGGAUUAGAUACCCUGGUAGCCCAUGCUGUAAACGUUGGGCACUAGGUGUGGGGGACAUUCCACGUUCUCCGCG